rnacentral:tRNA from 1 species
GCAGUGGUGGUCAGUGGUAGAAUUCUUGCCUUCCACGCAGAAGACCCUGGUUUGAUUCCUGGCCAACGCA